rnacentral:rRNA from 1 species
GACGAACGCUGGCGGCGUGCCUAAUACAUGCAAGUAGAACGCUGAAGGAGGAGCUUGCUCUUCUGGAUGAGUUGCGAACGGGUGAGUAACGCGUAGGUAACCUGCCUGGUAGCGGGGGAUAACUAUUGGAAACGAUAGCUAAUACCGCAUAACAGUAGAUGUUGCAUGACAUUUACUUAAAAGGUGCAAUUGCAUCGCUACCAGAUGGACCUGCGUUGUAUUAGCUAGUUGGUGGGGUAACGGCUCACCAAGGCGACGAUACAUAGCCGACCUGAGAGGGUGAUCGGCCACACUGGGACUGAGACACGGCCCAGACUCCUACGGGAGGCAGCAGUAGGGAAUCUUCGGCAAUAGACGGAAGUCUGACCGAGCAACGCCGCGUGAGUGAAGAAGGUUUUCGGAUCGUAAAGCUCUGUUGUAAGAGAAGAACGAGUGUGAGAGUGGAAAGUUCACACUGUGACGGUAUCUUACCAGAAAGGGACGGCUAACUACGUG